rnacentral:rRNA from 1 species
CCUACGGGAGGCAGCAGUGGGGAAUUUUGGACAAUGGGCGAAAGCCUGAUCCAGCAAUGCCGCGUGAGUGAAGAAGGCCUUCGGGUUGUAAAGCUCUUUUGUCAGGGAAGAAACGGUGAGAGCUAAUAUCUCUUGCUAAUGACGGUACCUGAAGAAUAAGCACCGGCUAACUACGUGCCAGCAGCCGCGGUAAUACGUAGGGUGCAAGCGUUAAUCGGAAUUACUGGGCGUAAAGCGUGCGCAGGCGGUUUUGUAAGUCUGAUGUGAAAUCCCCGGGCUCAACCUGGGAAUUGCAUUGGAGACUGCAAGGCUAGAAUCUGGCAGAGGGGGGUAGAAUUCCACGUGUAGCAGUGAAAUGCGUAGAUAUGUGGAGGAACACCGAUGGCGAAGGCAGCCCCCUGGGUCAAGAUUGACGCUCAUGCACGAAAGCGUGGGGAGCAAACAGGAUUAGAUACCCUGGUAGUCCACGCCCUAAACGAUGUCUACUAGUUGUCGGGUCUUAAUUGACUUGGUAACGCAGCUAACGCGUGAAGUAGACCGCCUGGGGAAGUUCGGUUCGCAAAGNUUUAAAACGNAAANAGAGUUAGAGGNGNGAGAGNGCGAGCGACACGAGGAGGAGG